AAAGCGGAAAAACUGUAAGUGCGACCCAUAUUUUUCAAUUGUCAAUAUAAAGUGCGAAUCAAAAAUUUGUUAAAAAACAGCCAAUUGCCAAAUUGUGUCCUUAAGCCGACUUAAGCACAAUUUAUUUGUUUUAUUGGGCUAACAAAAAGUUGAUCUGCACUAUUUAAUUAUAUGUACAUAUAUACACACAUAUUUACAUAUAUUUACCCAAGAGAAGAAGUGCAAUAAUAAAAUAUAUGCAUAUAUUUUGCCGUCGGCUAUUGCAUUCUUCUCGUUAAACUAAAAUUAUAUAUAAAUAAAUAUACACCCGCAAUUACAUACCUACAUACGAAUAGCGCACCCAUUCGCUUAUAUUUGUUGGUGACAAAAAUUGUUAACGAACAGCACGUCAAAAGACAAGUACCCAGUAGGAAAUUAAAAAGGUGACCCAGUAGGAAAAAGUGCAAAACCCUGCAAAUUUUUUAUUUAUCGAUUUUUUUUUCUACAAUUCAUCGGAAAUUUAAUAACUUCCCAUAAAUAUUCACAAUCGGACACCAUCGAGAUAAAAGCAAGAAAAUUAAUUUGAAAUUUUUAAAAUAAAUAAAGCACUAUACAAAAAGUUUUUAAAGUUUGUUUUCUUAAAUUUUCGUAACUCUACGCGAUUUAUUUUUCUCAUUCAACCCAAAUAUUAAAUAUAUCUUACCGAAAAAUGGAAAUGGAAGAUUUUAAAAUUACAACAACAGAUUUGAUUGAAUUCGUGGAAGACCAUCUUCAGACCCAAAGUGAAGAUGAUUCGGUCUAUACCCUAGAAAUUAAAAGGGUCGAACUAAAUUCGCUCUAUGAAAAAGCAAAGCGCUCAUACGAUGCGAUCAGAAGAAUUUCUCGCGAAAGUCAUGAAACCAUCGAUUUCUUUAAAGUGAAAGAAAAAUAUCAAAAAAGUUAUCGAAUGUACCUCUCUUGCUUAGCUUCCAUCAACGAAGAUGUAGAUGCGCGUAAAACACAAGUGUCAACCCAACCCAUUAAGGAAAGGACUUCAGAAGCCACAAUGAUGGAUUUCGCUCCUGCAGUUCACCUUCCACCAUGCGACACCGACAUCUUUUACGGAGAUUACACAACUUGGCCCACCUUUCGGGAUAUGUUUACAGCCCUGUAUAUCCGUAACCCAAGGAUUAGUAACGUUGAAAGACUCUUUCACCUUACUCAGAAGACCCGAGGAGAAGCAAGAGAGGUUAUUCAAAACGCACCCCUAACAAAUGAUGGUUUCAUACUCGCUUGGAAAAAUUUAGUCGACCAAUAUGAAAAUAAGAGGUUGCAGGUAAACACCCAAUUAAAGACCCUUUUUAACCUACCUCAAGUAACUCAAGAAACAGGUGGGGCUAUAAAAAGCUUACAACGUUCGGUUAAUAACGUUUUAACCAAUUUAAACAAUCUAGAGAUUGACACACAAAGCUGGGAUCCGAUAUUAAUAUAUCUUUGUAGUUCAAAACUACCUAAACAAACUCUCGAAACCUUUGAAUAUACCCUAGCAGAUAAUUCAGAUAUACCGACGUGGUCAAAUUUCGACAGUUUUUUAACCCACAAAUACAAAACCCUCGAAUCUGUUGGAAAUUUCAAAGCUUCAGUAGCAAAAUUACCCCCAUUCCACACCGGUACGGUUAAAAGAACAGAUGAAAAGAAAUAUAACACUUUUCAUGCAAACGUGGCUGAAACGCCAAUAGCUAGACCCUCUAAUACUCAAAGGAAUACUAAUUUCAACUUUACCCAACAAAAUAUAGAUACAGAAAGCUGUAAGCUCUGCAAAAAGCAGCACCCUAUUCGAGAAUGUCCCAAAUUUCUCGCAAUGAAUGUAGAGACACGUAUCUCCACAAUCAAAAAAUAUGGUUAUUGCUAUAACUGCUUGGCUAUUUCACAUAGCUACAAGAACUGUGUGAGUAAAUUCUCGUGUCGUAAGUGUCACAAAAAACACAACACUCUGAUACACAGAGAAUCCAGCUUUCGACCUGAAUCAACUCCGGAAAUGCCAAACGUCACUAGUUCGAGCCCUGAAAACGCUUCAAGUACCGCAUUACCCACCCAAAGCACAAAUACAAAUCGGCAAGCCUACACUACAACUAUACAGUCCACUAUAUCAUCAACCCAAGACCCACCCAACCCAAGUAGGAAGCAGAUAUUACUCGGUACUGCAAUGGUUCAAAUAGAACUUAAUGGCCAACGAUAUUCCGCGAGAGCUCUUAUUGAUUCAGGAUCGGAAGCCACAUUUAUAUCUCGAAGACUUCAAAGAAGUUUGGAUAUACCCACCCACUUUGCAUCAGCCCAAGUGACCGGACUAAACAAUGCAGUUUCAGCAACACCAACGAGUAUUUGUGAAAUCACACUUUGCUCACCCUUAAACACCAAUUAUAAGCUAUCAGCACAGGCAUUUAUACUAAAUAGCCUAACUGAUAAUUUACCCUCAUACCCCAUAGAUCCAAAGCAGUGUCUUAAAAAUCUUGGAUUCACAUUAGCCGACACUCAAUUUCACAAACCCAGACCCGUGGAUAUACUAAUCGGUAGUGAUAUCUAUCCCAGUAUUUUACUCAAUGGAGUAAAGCGAAACGUACUAGGUUCACUCUUAGCUCAAGAGACAGAAUUCGGAUGGAUAUUGUCCGGACCCAUCACCCAACCCACCCAAAAUUCCACCAUAGUUUCAUUUCACAAUAAAGUGAACCCUGAGAAUCUACUCACACGUUUUUGGGAGGUGGAGGAAAUCCCAAAGGAAUCCGUAGUUUCCAAAUCAGAUCAAAUUUGUGAGGAAAUUUUCCAAAAAACUACCCGUUGUAAUCCAAAUGGGCGCUAUAUAGUAACCCUACCCUUCAAAGAACCCGACAAUAUUGAUAUCGGAUACUCUAGACAUAUAGCGUUGGCCCAAUUCCUCCGAAAUGAACGAGCUUUACUUAAAAAACCCGAAGUGAAGGCAGAAUAUGACAAAGCAAUUAUGGAAUAUUUGGAACUCGGACAAAUGAAGAAAGUGGAGUAUGACCCUUCUGGUAAAGCGACCCAAUAUUACUUACCACACCACGCAGUCAUUAAACCCGAUCGUAUAACCACGAAAUUGCGUGUGGUAUUUAAUGCAUCUUGCCCCACGUCAAAUCACAAAAGCUUGAAUGACGUCUUACAUAUCGGGCCUACUUUACAGAAAGACCUUGUCAUUCUGAUCACAAAUUGGCGACUCUUCCAAUUCGUUUUUAAUGCGGAUAUUCAGAAAAUGUACCGGCAAAUACUCGUAGACCCUAAACACACUCGGUUCCAAAGGAUAUUAUUUAGGAAAUCCCCGGAAGACACAAUAGAAGACUUCGAAUUGCAAACAAUCACGUUCGGCAUAAAUUGUGCGCCGUAUCUAGCGAUCCGUACCCUCAUGAAGCUAGCCGAUGAUGUUGAAGAAACCCACCCAUUAGCAGCCAAAAUACUUCGCCAGGAAAUGUAUGUAGACGAUGUUUUAGCUGGAACUCAUGACCUGACCACGGCAAAGUCAGCACGAGAUGAACUCAUUUCCGCUCUGAAGACCCCAGGAUUCGCUCUGCGAAAAUGGACCUCCAAUGACCCACACAUUCUGAAGGGACUUCCACAGGAUCAUCUUUUAGAAACGGAAACACUAAACCUUUCGGAACCCGAGAACACCAAAACCCUGGGCAUUCGAUGGAACUCUAAAAAGGAUUCAUUUUUCUUCCUCGUCAACCCAAUGGAGAAAAAACCCGCACACACCAAACGUGAAGUUUUAUCAGCCAUAGCAAAAUUGUUUGACCCAGCCGGUUGGCUUAGUCCAAUAAUAAUCACGGCAAAAAUAAUUAUGCAACAAAUAUGGCUAGAUAAAACUGACUGGGAUGAAAGCCUGAAGCCCCUCACCCUUCAUCGAUGGAACAGCUUCGUAAAGGAUUACGACAACAUAAACAAAAUUGAAAUACCCAGGUGGACCCAUUUUAACCCAACAACCACCAUUGAAUUCCACGGUUUCUCUGAUGCUUCAGAAAAAGCAUAUGCCGCGACACUUUAUAUAAGGGUUUCAGUUGGAGACAAAAUAUGGACAACUCUCUUAGUCUCAAAAACAAGAGUUGCUCCCAUUAAAACCGUAUCCCUACCCAGAUUGGAACUCUGCGGAGCGGUUCUAUUAGCUAACCUUGUUAACUCUACCCUAUCCCAACUACACUUAACCCAAUAUAAAAGUUGUUUUUGGACUGACUCAACCAUAGUUCUUGCUUGGUUAAACAAACCACCCUGUUCAUGGACCACUUUCGUUUCUCAUCGAGUAGCUGCAAUCACCGAGAAAGUAGGAGUCGAAAAUUGGAACCAUGUGGAAAGCCAAGACAAUCCCGCAGACUUAGCAAGCCGAGGAUGUACACCCACCGAUCUAUUUAAUUGCAACCUCUGGUGGCAUGGACCCCAAUGGCUACAACAUGAAAAGGAGCAUUUUCCAGCAUCGGAGAAAACAUACAACACUACCGUGGAAUUCAAACCCGUUAAGACGUUUGCGAUAACCACCCAAGAGGAUAUACUCGAAAGGUUUUCCUCAUUCCCCAGAGCUAUUCGCGUUAUCGCUUACCUAUUCAGGUUUUGCGCAAAUGCCUCACCAAGGAGGCGAGAAAUUGGUUACUCAAGCCACGAAAUAACCCCGGAAGAGUUCAAAACAACCCGAAUGAAGUUAAUUAUUCACACCCAAAAAACACAUUUCCGAGAAGAAUAUGAUGCAUUGACCCGUAAAACCCAAAUACAUAAGAAAAGUUCAUUAUUGACUUUAAAUCCAUUCAUUGACCCUAAAGGAGUUAUGCGAAGUGACGGAAGAUUAACCAAUUCCGCAGCGCUAUCAUAUAAUGAGCGCCACCCUAUCUUAUUACCCUAUAAUAGUCGUAUAACAAAAUUACUAACUCAAUUUACCCAUUUAGCAACGUUACACGGCGGAAAUCAGCUAGUUCUCCGACUCCUAAGGACAGAAUUCUGGAUACCCAAAGCAAAGAUGCUGAUUAAAACAAUAAUUCAUCAAUGCAAAACGUGCAUCAUACACAACAAGGCUCAACAAACCCAAAUAAUGGCAGCUCUUCCAAAUGAGCGAACCAUCCUAACCCGGCCGUUUGCUGCCACUGGUAUCGACUUUGCUGGACCCUAUGACAUCAAAAACUACACUGGGAGAGCAUGUCUAAUCACCAAAGGAUAUAUAUGUGUAUUUGUGUGCUUCUCAACUAAAGCAAUACAUCUGGAACCCGUUAGCGAUCUCACUACACAAGCCUUCCUAGCAGCAUUCUCCCGUUUCUUCUCGAGGCGUGGAUGUCCCGCCAAUCUUUAUUCCGACAACGGAACAAACUUUGUAGGAGCUUCACAGUUGCUAAUGAAAGAUCGGCGUGAAUUAUUACAGACACUUCGAACUCAAAUUACAUCUCUCCAUAGCCAUCAAAAUAUCUCAUGGUACUUCAACCCACCAGGAGCUCCACAUAUGGGUGGAUUAUGGGAAGCAGGCGUAAAAAGUCUAAAAACUCACCUAAAAAAGAUCGCAAAACUACAAAAAUUCACGUUUGAAGAAUUUGCUACCCUCUUAACCCGCAUUGAAAGUUGUUUAAACUCUCGGCCAAUAAGCCCCAUAAGCGACGACUCAUCAAAUUUGGAACCUCUAACUCCAGGACACUUCCUUAUAGGUACCCCAUUGUUAACCCCUGCCGAACCCAAUUUAGAGGAUGCAAACUUAAGCAUCGUUAACAGAUGGCAGAAACUAAAAAUACUCUACCAGCACAUUUGCAAGAGAUGGAAAGAAGAGUACCUUAAGGAGCUACACAAACGAUACAAAUGGAAAUAUCCACAACGUAAUGUUGAAGUCAACGACUUAGUCGUUAUAAGAAACGAAAAUAUUUCACCCAACGAAUGGAAGCUCGGUCGAAUACAAAAGGUCUUCCCCGGCUUAGACAAUAAAACACGAGUGGUUGAAAUCCGAACUGCUCAAGGCACAAUAACCCGCCCCAUCACAAAAAUUGUGAUAUUAAACACAGAAUAACAUACAAGUUUUCUCUUCUUUUUUAGUGAAAUGGCCCCAACAGUCACCAACUCACCCAAACCUCGUCGCAUGAGCUCGACCAUUACCAUCCGGUCCCGUAGCGCAACCCGUAGCAUUACGCCAAUUUCGGAAGACGAAACGAUGUCACGACGCAUGCGGCGUUUCAAGUCGACCCUUCCCACUAUUCGUGAGGAAAAGGAAUGUGAUGAUCGCACAACCCGAAAAACGAUCUCACAUCACAGAAAACCCACGUCACAUCGUCAUGUCGCCUGCGGAAUAUGCAAAAAAGACCACCGUCUAGUGACUUGCGCUACAUACUCGGCAUAUAACAUUAAUAAGAAAUACGAAGCAGUAAGAAAACACCAUUAUUGCGUUAAUUGCUUAGCCAGGUCGCACAAGACAGAAGGAUGUACAAGCAAAAAUAGAUGUUCCGUUUGUCAUGAGAAACAUCAUUCAUCCCUACACGGACAUCCGAGGCUAUACCCGACCAACGAUGCCAAUGUUGUUAAGAAACAUCCGCUUGCGAUGGAGACCCGACUACCAUCCUUACUGGCUAAGCAGACCCUAGUACCCACAUUGAAGAUCCGAUUAAGAUGCGAUGGUGAAUGGCAUAAAGUUCGAGCCAUUUUAAACCCUACCCUCAAAAUCACGAAUAUAGCAGCCGAACUCGUCCAACAAUUAAAACUGCCGAUUACAUACCUCAAUACUUAUCGUAUUUGCAGCAUCAAAAUUAGCUCAAAUAAUGACACAAAGUUUUCUCUGGAUUGUAACGCGGUUAUCACCCAAAAGUUACCCAAAAAACCCUAUGAGCGAGAUCUAAGUGACGAUGUGCAAAUGCGCUUUGAACACUUAGUUCUCGCUGACCCUCAAUUCCAUAGCAACAGGGAGAUAAUGUUGGAAAUUGGAGCGGAUAUCUACCCCCAAAUCAUCAGAAAUGGACUAUUCAAACCCGACAAUGGUACAGUGGUAGCGCAGAAUACAGCAUUUGGCUGGACCCUUACUGGCACCAUCUAAACCUAAAUUCUGCAAGGUGGCCGGGAUGUUUAAUCCAAACAAAUACUCCUCUGCAUUACUCCCACAAAUUGCAUAAAGUAAUAGAGGCGUAAUGCAGAGGAAUAUCAACCGCCCCAACUUCACGCAACAGGCGAAGAAGGAAACAAAAAAAAAGGAAAACUUUUCCCGCGCUUUUUCUCACUAUUGAUUAUUAUCCCGCCAACAGCAGCGAACAUCAACAAGCGAUAUAGAGCAGCGAUACACCAGCUAACACGGAGAACAACAUAAAAUAAAUUCCCUAUUUAUACAAAGUGACAACAAGUGUAGCAGAUUACAACAUAUAACAAGUGAAAUUAAAAGGAAUUACAAUAUAAAGUAUUACGAAUACAACACAAAAAUCCUCACAAACAUCGUUGGAAUUACAGAAAAAAUCCACACCACAUCUACAGCGAGGGAAUCAACCACAAAUCGAAACAGGUUUACAAAAUCAAAUAAAUUAACAUAGAAUAAUAUAUUUAUAUCCCCACAUAACCCACUUAACCAUUAUUGGUUACACAUACACACAUUUAUAUAUAUAUAUAUGUACAUAUCCUGAUAAAUUAAA